UAUUCGUACGGUACAUACAAUUAAGAACAGAGCCUAUUCCCUAUAUCUGUACAUUUUAUAAGCAUCAAAAAGUACUCCAAAUGUUAUGUUUCAAUGUCUAUGUUUAUAUUUUAGCAUUUGUAACGCAUGCAUGAUCAUUAUUUCCAUUGCAUCGACUGUAAACACGAUGGUUUAAUUUACAGCGAAGCGAACCGACAAGUCCUACACAUUCUGAUAGAGUGUAUGUGUGUGUUUUGGGCAACAAGUCCUCUAAUCAUAGCAGGUGGUAAAUUUCCAUCCAUCCAUCCAUCCAUUUUUUUCACCAUUUAUCCUCACGAGGGUCAGGGAGAGUCCUGCAGCCUAUCCGAGCUGUGAACGGGCAGGAGGCAGGGUACACCUUGAACUGGUUGCCAGCCAGUCGCAGAGUAAAUAGAGACAAACAGCCAGACUCGCAAUCACACCUAGGGGCAAUUUCGAGUGUCCAAUUAAUGUUUCAUGUUUUUGGGAUGUGGGAGGAAACCCGAGUGCCCGGAGGAAACUCACGCAGGCACGGGGAGAACAUGGAAACGCCACACAGGCGGGUCCGGGAUCGAACCCGGGUCCUCAGAACUGCGAGGCCAACGGUUUACCAGCUGCCUCACCGUGCCGCCCAGAUACGUGUUGGUCCCCUGAAGGGUCAUCGGUCCCGGAUUACAACCCAAAACCCGAACCACGCGGGCAGACAGCUGCUCGAUACGGGGAAUGAGCGCACUCAUUGCCGAACCGAACCGAUUCUGAACAACGACGAAGGAGCACUAAGGGCAGCAAGCGACCAGGAAGGCAACCGGAAACAGCGUGGUGGAUUGUUUACUUCCGACUUUCAAGCAGCCUUCACAGGGGAGAUCAGCUGUGCAAAGAACCCCCCCCCCCAACCCCAAAGCACACCGUGACUGACCGCUCAUCCAGACGAUUGGUCACCCUGCCCCUGUUGCGCCACUCCAUGAUUGGAGAGUUUGCAAGAGGAGACGUGCAACGCAUUAUGGAUGCUGGUUUGCUCGACUGGGAGCCAAUCUGAAAUGCUGAUGAGUGCAGUGGGAAGUGGGACACUGUCUCUGCCAUAAACCUAUCUUUGGCUGGCGCAGAAGACCUUGUUUAUACCUCAAGUGUGACAUCACAAAUAAACAAUCGAUUGAUGCACUGAUAACACACCAAAGACAUCAUUGAUAAUCCUGGGUUAUUAAAAAAAAAGUGUUUUUCAGCCGAUUAAGGACAAUUUUGCAUCUGAAAAUGAGAUCCGCUUUUAUGCCAAGUUGAUUUUUUUUUUUUCAAUUACGUACAUUUUUUUGUGACAACAUUGGUCAUUUUGACAAACUUUUCUUAUGCUUAAUUGAUUGAAUACGACUCUGUGUAUUUUAUUUCUUACAAGGAAGGAGUCACACACCCCAGUGGUGAAAAUGGGUGAUGCGCAAAAAUACCUACAAACACGCAUACACAAAAAUGUAAAAAACAAAAAAAAAGAAAAGAAAAUAAUUG